CUUUGCCUUCAGCCUCUGAGAUGCUCAAGUACCAUCUGGACUUCAGUGACAGCAGACCGGAGGGAAGGACUGAUUUGUUAGUCAUUGUCUUCACACCUUUAAAUCCUCUCUCCAUCUCUCCAAACUGCUCUCAUUUUGGUAAUUAGUUAAGGUUUGUGGAAGCAUUCUGCCUUACAGAGAGAAGAUGAGCCAGAAUGGAGACUCUGUAGUACAAGGAGGGAGAAGAUUGUUAAAUUUGAGAAAGCUAUCUUGGGUAAUAAUCCCGGUCAGCAGAUUACUUCCUUGAGGAAACUUGGAGCAUGAAAAGAAGAGCAGGCUACAAAAUGGAAAUUUUACUGUGUUUUUUCUAUGCCCCAUUAUGUCUCCUCAGACUUUUUCUUUUUUAAUCAUUAUUUUUUUCAUCCACAUAUUUAAAGUACCUGGAGUUUUGAAG